CGUCGGAGUCGGAACGGGCAUCCCUGCCACCCCCCGCCCUCCCCCUUCCCACACGUUGGCCGAAUGGACGCUGCAAAGAGGAAAUCCAGUUAUCAAAAUGACUCCAGAAAAGAGAACCUAACAUCCAUUAACAAUGGGAAAUACUGAAAACGUUACCAAAAAGCUACCAUUCCUCAAAACACCAGGCCCAGAUGGUGUCACAGGU